UACGAAGGGGGCUAGCGUUGCUCGGAAUCACUGGGCGUAAAGCGCACGUAGGCGGGUUGUUAAGUCAGGGGUGAAAUCCUGGAGCUCAACUCCAGAACUGCCUUUGAUACUGGCAAUCUUUGAGUCCGGGAGAGGUGGGUGGAACUGCGAGUGUAGAGGUGAAAUUCGUAGAUAUUCGCAAGAACACCAGUGGCGAAGGCGGCUCACUGGCCCGGUACUGACGCUGAGGUGCGAAAGCGUGGGGAGCAAACGGG
rnacentral:rRNA from 1 species